rnacentral:tRNA from 1 species
GGCCACGUGGCGAAGCAGUCUAACGCGGCGGUCUGCAAAACCGUUAUUCGCGGGUGCGAAUCCCGCCGUGGCCUCAA